CGCGGUUCAGUUGUGGUCGCGAGGGGGUGGCGGGGGUGAGUUCUGCUGGUGCGCGAGGCCCUGCUGGGGCGCCGGGUGCUGGGAGCGCGCUAGGCGCGCCGAGAGAGGUGCUGAGCUCCCGCAAGUCCGUCCGUCCGUCCUCCGCACGUAUCUUGAGCACUCGUUAGGGCCGAGGAGCAGUACUGAGAACGCAGAUUUGAAAGGGCGCGUUCCUGCCUGAGGGAGUUCACGGUCUGGAGGGGAGACGGCGACGUUCCACCAGAGAAGCCAGUUAGGGGCGGUCUGGGCGCUGUGCAGGCGGAGCAGAGACGGUGAACCUCAUACGUCCUCAGGAAAACUUCAUGACAGAGGGAGCGUCAGGGCCGAGACUAGCAGGACUGAGACCAUCCCUUGGAGAGCCCAACCAAGACGAGGAUAGAAGGAAAAGGUUUUAUUACUUGCAGCUCCAGGCUUCAUAUGGUGAGACUUUCUCUGGGAAAGAAAGAAAGCUCAGAGUCCCAUACAGAAAAUUCUUCAGCUCGAAGGAUGU